rnacentral:rRNA from 1 species
GGGUUGUGAGGUUAAGCGACUAAGCGUACACGGUGGAUGCCCUGGCAGUCAGAGGCGAUGAAGGGCGUGCUAAUCUGCGAUAAGCGCCGGUAAGGUGAUAUGAACCGUUAUAACCGGCGAUACCCGAAUGGGGAAACCCAGUGUGACUCGUCACACUAUCAUUAACUGAAUCCAUAGGUUAAUGAGGCGAACCGGGGGAACUGAAACAUCUAAGUACCCCGAGGAAAAGAAAUCAACCGAGAUUCCCCCAGUAGCGGCGAGCGAACGGGGAGGAGCCCAGAGCCUGAAUCAGCAUGUGUGUUAGUGGAAGCGUCUGGAAAGGCGCGCGAUACAGGGUGACAGUCCCGUACACAAAAGCGCAUGUGCUGUGAGCUCGAUGAGUAGGGCGGGACACGUGGUAUCCUGUCUGAAUAUGGGGGGACCAUCCUCCAAGGCUAAAUACUCCUGACUGACCGAUAGUGAACCAGUACCGUGAGGGAAAGGCGAAAAGAACCCCGGCGAGGGGAGUGAAAAAGAACCUGAAACCGUGUACGUACAAGCAGUGGGAGCCCCACCACUAAGCCAGUGGUGAACUCCACAUACGCAUCCUUUGCUGAGGAUACGGUUAACGGAGCGAAAGCGACGUUCAACCGCAAAAGAAGCAGAGGGGGCUUAGUGGUGGGGUGACUGCGUACCUUUUGUAUAAUGGGUCAGCGACUUAUAUUCUGUAGCA